UACAGAGGUCUCAAGCGUUGUUCGGAUUCAUUGGGCGUAAAGGGUGUGUAGGCGGCGCCGUAAGUCGGGUGUGAAAUUUCGGAGCUUAACUCCGAAACUGCAUUCGAUACUGCGGUGCUUGAGGACUGGAGAGGAGACUGGAAUUUACGGUGUAGCGGUGAAAUGCGUAGAUAUCGUAAGGAAGACCAGUGGCGAAGGCGGGUCUCUGGACAGUUCCUGACGCUGAGGCACGAAGGCCAGGGGAGCAAACGGG
rnacentral:rRNA from 1 species